rnacentral:rRNA from 1 species
UACGGAGGGUGCAAGCGUUAAUCGGAAUUACUGGGCGUAAAGCGUGCGCAGGCGGUUUUGUAAGACAGGCGUGAAAUCCCCGGGCUUAACCUGGGAAUGGCGCUUGUGACUGCAAAGCUGGAGUGCGGCAGAGGGGGAUGGAAUUCCGCGUGUAGCAGUGAAAUGCGUAGAUAUGCGGAGGAACACCGAUGGCGAAGGCAAUCCCCUGGGCCUGCACUGACGCUCAUGCACGAAAGCGUGGGGAGCAAACAGG